UGGCUCCUGCGGUGUGCGCAAGCCUUGUAGUCCCGAGCCAACAGAUAGACAAAGGGAGUCCGGCUCCGGACGGGGACGACGGGCCCCGGCCAUCCUCUGCGGCCUCACCGGCCGCAAAGGGGGGCUAGCCGAAACCGCCCGGGAGGACACCCACCUGCGAGGGGCAGGUUCGGAGACUGCAGGCGGCGGCCCCGCGGGAGCCGU
rnacentral:other from 1 species